UACGGAGGAGGCAAGCGUUAUCCGGAAUUAUUGGGCGUAAAGCGUCCGCAGGUGGCACCUCAAGUCUGCUGUCAAAGACCGGGGCUUAACCCCAGAAAGGCAGUGGAAACUGAAGUGCUAGAGUGCAGUAGGGGUAGAGGGAAUUCCCGGUGUAGCGGUGAAAUGCGUAGAGAUCGGGGGGAACACCGGUGGCGAAGGCGGCCUUCUGGACGGUGACUGACGCUGAGGCGCGAAAGCGUGGGGAGCAAACGGG
rnacentral:rRNA from 1 species